GUGACCGAAGCUGCCCUUGACAUAGCCUUGGCCGCGCCUGCCAGGGUCCAGUGUUCGUUCUAUCACAGGCUUUAGCAAAGUUUUGGACCCCUCUGAGAACUUUGGGACCCCGGAUGUUUAGACUAAAUUACGCAUGAUUAAAGACUUCUCAUUGAGAUGAUUCAAGUUGGAGAUUUAAUUUUUACAAACUUAAGAAUCAUGUUUAGGAAAAUUAUUUAAUGACAUCAGGAAAUUCUCAUAUUUUUAAAUGGAAAACUCGGGUUUCAAAAUCACAGAAAUUCGGAUCUCAACUGUAAAAGUAAAUAUAUAAAGGUGUUUUAAAGAUGGAAAGAAAUGUAUCAAAACAUUUACAGUAGCUGUGGUGAUAGAAUAAUGGGUUUUUGUUUUCUUUGUAAUUUUCUGUUUUCCCAGAUGUUCUUCAUUGAGCAUGUUAAGUAUUUUAUAGUCAGGAAAACGUUAUUUUAAAACAAUGCUUUUCGAAUUAGGACUUCAAAGAAUUUUUUAUUUUACUGUAAUAGCUCCAAAAUUCACUACAAAUUAAUAAUAGUAUUCUCUUGGUUUUCUUAGGGGCUGGUGCCAUGACUUUCAAGCCAAGGUUUUCCUUGGUACCUUCAGCACAAAAACAAGCAACAAUAGGAUACAAUCAAGUUAAGAUGAGAUAAUACUGGAGUAGGAUGGCCCUACUCCAGUAUGGCUGGUGUCCUUAUGAAAAGAGGAGAGAUAAAAACACGCACAGAGGAAAAUACCAUGUGCAGACAGAGAGAAAUUGGAGUGAUGCAUGUCUGAGCCAACGAAUGCCUAGGAUGGCUGACAACCACCAGAAUCCAGGAAGAGGCCAGGAAGGCUCCUCCCCUAAGGUUUUCAGAGAGAACAUGACCCUGCUAACAGACAAGAAUGGUGAUGUCUGAGAAAGGGAAGUAACUCUAUGCAAGGUCACCAGCAGAAUGAAAAGGAACAGCCACCGGGGCUGCCAGCAGAGGAAUCUUGCAAGGGCAGCCACCCUCCACCUGUUCUCAGGCUUAAGCCAGGUGAGAGUUUUCAAAUAGGGCAGAAGGGAGAAGUUUUACCUUUCUUUCUCCAAGGGCCCAUCCUAAACUGAUUUGCAUGAUCUGAAAAGCCUCUAAGUUUUCCGUUCAGUAGGGGGAACAUGCCAGAGACCCUUGAAAACAGUUAACAGCAGCCAAUGAAGUCCUUUAAGGCUUAAUGUAAAUCCUGGAACUCUUGACUCUCAUGGCUUGGAGGGGCUUCGUAAAGGUGAUAUUUCUGUUAUGAGUGGAGGACUUUUAAGCUACAAUUCAAAACAGCUAAGGGGUUAUUAAUUCCUUUAUGAAGCGGUUACUGAAAAGUCUUGCCUUCAACUACCGUUUUUGCAAAAUUUAGUUUUUCAGUUUUUCUGAAUGCCAAAAAAACAAAAAACAGUGGCAAAAUAUUAAUCACGAUGAUGGUUGUGGUUGCCUUGUUAGAAGAUUGGUAUUGAACUUGGGAUUUCUGUAUCAUCGCUGAAUCCUUAAUUGUGCCAGUCCUGAAUUUAUUCAUGUGUGAUGGAUUGUGUAAUGACAACAAAUCCUGUCCCCUUCUCCUGCUCCCUCCGCUCCCCUACCCCCCAUAUCCCAGGAUGCUCACCCUUUUUAAUGUGACUUUGGGCCUCAUCUCAUCCAGAGGUCGUGUCCAUUUCUCCACUCCCUUGAAUUUGGACUGGCCUUGCUUGCUUUGACCAGUAGAAAGCAGUCAAAAUGAGGUGCUUUGAGUUCCUAAGCUUUGGCCCUCAGUGGCCUGGCAGUGUUGCCUGCACUUUCUGGAGCACCAAGAAAGAUGGAUCACUCCCAACCUGAGGCAGUGGGUCUAGCCUCCAGGAGACUGAGAGACUGAUGGAGGAGAAUCAGGCAACUUCAGCCAGCCCCACCUGCCAGGCACACAAGGGAGACCACCUUAGACUGCCCACCCAGCCACCUGCCUGCAGCUGUGGGUGAGGAAAAACAAGACCAGCAGAGGAUCUGCCCAGCCAACUCACCAAAGUGUGAGAGAUAAUAAAUUGUGAUUGAAGACACUAAGUUUUGGGGGUGAUUUGUUACUCAGUCAUAGAUAACGGAUAAAACUCAAACAUUUUAAUCCAUAAUUAUGGUAUAGGAGCUCAUUUGCUUAAGGGAGUACUUUGUAAUUCCUCUGCAAUGGUCCAUUGUUCCUCAGGCAGAGAGGCAGGCUCUAUGUAUGGAAAAUUGUUCUCUUUCUUUCUUAACAUUUUAAAAAACUGAUGUAUAGUUAAUUUAUGAUGUGUUAGCUUCAACUGUACAACAAAGUGAUUCAGUAAUAUGCAUACAUGUAUAUAUAACACACACACAUAUCUUCUUAUUCAGAUUCUUUUCCCUUGUAGAUUAUUGCAAGAUACGAGUAUUGUUCCCUGUGCGAUAUAGUAGGUCCUUGUGGUUAAUCUGUUUUAUAUACAGUAGUGUGUAUCUGUUAAUCCCAAACUCCUAAUAUAUAUUUCUUAAUAAUAGCCUGAUCUUAGAGAGCAUUCAUAUAGGAAUGGAUACUCCUCCCUUUCUCUCUCAUUAUGGUCACCACCCUGGCAUGAAUAUGGACCUAUCCUCAGGGAAAGCUCAACCUACACACACACACACACACACACACACACACACACACACACAAACACACACAUAGGACAUGCACAUGUACAUAUAUACAACCUAAGAUCCCAUAGCUUAUAAGGGUGGAACUCAGAUUCAUGCCCAGCAGACUGGCUCUAGAAUCUGUACUGUUAACAGCUGCCUUCCACUGCCACAGAGUCAUGUAUGGUAGCUUCUAGAUGUGACUAUUAGGAGCCCUCAGGUAUCAAACCAUUUGAGCAGAUUCCCUGCUGCACUAGCUCCUUAUCUAUUUCCUGGCCUGCCUCCCUGGCCAGACACUGCUUUCCCUCCAACACCGAGGAACAUCCUCCUGUCUAGACCCCAGGACCCUGCUCAUCCCAGAUGAGUCAUGUGUGAAAUCCCCAUUCUCUUUAGGAUGGGCCACGUAUUGCAAAUGCCUUAUUCAACACUCUUUCUAACUUCCCUCUACUCUUCCUUCUUGUGCCGGGAAGCUGGAGUACUAAGAUGACAUUCCCCAGAGAUUCCUUUGUAGUCUCAGAUGUGACCAGGUUUUCCCAAGAGGACACACUGCUUAGGAUGAGGAGACAGAGAUGACCAAUGUGAGUAAUGGCUCUGCAGAGAGAGCAGAUGUGACAAGGACCAUGAGUGAGGCACCUGGACUUCCUGGUUCAGGUUUGCUGGAGGUUUUAGACUUUGUCCCUGGUGUUCAGGGUGUGGCAGAUGAUAGUGUUGGGGACGUUUCACUAGAACCUUCCAAGGGAGAGGUUGGCCAUUUCUCCUGGCUGCUUUGAAACUGGCUAACAACUAAACCCAAUUAUCUAGCCUUCCCAGAAAUUCUAUAAAAUACAUGAUACCUGGUGAUAGUCUUCUCUGCUUAAACUAGCUAACAUGGAUUCUGAUGCUUGCAGUCAAAAAGCCUGAUCACUCUAAGGUGUUACUGCACCCCAACCACAAGAGCGGCCUCCUACAAACAAAACCCUUUGCAACACAGUAGCCCACCUCCCAUAUGAGUAGCUGCAAAGGACAUUUCCCUUUGAUUUCAGUCUCCACCUGCCAGCUUCAAAGUCAGAGCAGAAAUAUAGAGGUCACGCUGGGGAGAAUAGGAAUGAGGCCAACUGGCUCAAAUAACAAAUGUUGAGUUAGGGAUAGGCUGAGCCAGCAAUGGAGUCAACCCACAGAGACCUCAAGUCAGCAAAAAUGAGCAAAAGAAUCCACAUCUGAGAAGCAGGAUCUGAUUGGUGGGAGAAAUAAAGCCAGGAAACCAGGUCCCAAUUGAGCUUCCUAAACAGUAGUUGACCAAGUCAGGAACCCUUUACAAGGAACCCCAGCCUCCUACUACAGGCUUGCACAUAAUCCUUUUAGUGGCGCAAUAUACAGGAGAUGUCUUUGAUGUAAUUGUCCUUUGCCCCCUGUGGCGUGAAGAAAUGAGGAAAUGGUAUCUCUACCCAGAUAUCAGAGAGCCUUUUUGAGAUUAUUCUUUGGAUCUCUUACCUUAAGAAUGAAGUAACUUUCAUUAUGAAUCAGCUAAUGUCAGAUCAUAAUACAUUUUGGUUUAAGAUGUGAAAUGGAUCCGGGGUAAUUUAUCUCAGGCAGCCAGUAUAUCCUUAAAAAAUAUUUCCAUUCCAAGUGUUACUUUAUAAGUAAGAUACAGUGGAACCAAUGGGAAAAAAACAAAAGCAAACCAAAGUUAAAUUAUUGCUUCUGAUGAGGUAAACCCUGUCCAGAGGACUUGUCAAGGACCAGCCUUUCUCUGAUUGACACGUGGGGGUGGGGUUUUCAGAGGGGAGGAAGCCUCUCGGGGUGAGGGAGAGUACUGCUCUAAAACACAGCUUGUUUGUGUAAGUGUUGCAUUGACCCCCAACCCGGUCCCCAUGGCAUCACCUGGGACAAGCCCAGGCACUUGACCAUGGAGAGGUACCUCUUUACGUCAUGCCUGGCAUUGGCUGCAUCUCCCUGAAGGGAAAAUGUCCAAACUUUGAGACGGUCACUCCUGCGGCUUCCCCUUUAUCAUCUUUGCCCAUAACAGCGCUUUUCUGAAAAAAUAUAUUUGACUGAAGAUUUUUCAUAUCUUAGCCCAAAUUCUUCUAGCUAAUUCUGAGAUGCCAUUUGCCAUGGCCAAUGGCUCAGAUAUUUGACACUGAGUCUCUAAUAGGUCUCUUUGCAAAACGUAGUGGAGAGAGACCUAAGAGGAAGUGCAGGGUGUUAGAGAUUUCAGUUCUUUGGCAUUUUCCACCUUUUAAUCCCUGCUGAACAAGUCAUUGCUUUGGGGACCAUCUUCUUUCCAUUGUGCACAGGAGGAGCCAUGCAUGCUCAUAGCAUGGCUGUUGACUGCAGUCGAUUUCAGCUAUCCUACAGAAAUCUACAGGUAACACACAUGCCAAAUAUUAUAAACCAAAUGCUAAACCUGGACUGGAGAAAGCUGAGAACCAGCCUGAUCUCUGUGCUCAGCUGGCCCUCUGUGCAGCAGCAGGGACUUUUGGUGGAGGAGGGUGGAAGUAGAGAGCAAAAUAAAGAGUCUGAUGAGAGCCCUUGUGGAGGUGAAUAGACUCUUUGACUGGCUGUCACCUCCACCCUAGGAACCAGCCCCUCUCCCAGCCCCCCAGGGCACUGGAGGUGGUUCCCUGCAGAGGGGAAACUGAGGCUCUUUGGACUGGGAGGUGCCAGGAAGCGCUAAAGGUGGGGCUACCAUAUCAAAACAGGGAAAUCAAGCUCUAAGUGAUGAUUCAUUUCACCUUUUCUUCCCUACUUAACUCUCACAACACAAGAAGCAAGAUUUUUGACCUUCUAGACAAGAGAGAGAGAAAAGUAUUCCAGCUGGAAACUGACAGCCCUAGAGAAAAGAACUAAAUCUACUUUUAUCCACAGUUCGACAGACUCAGCAACCAGAUCAUUCUACAGUGAAGUACAACAUGGGUGAGCCCAAGCCAAACAUCUCAAAACUGCCCAUCAGCUUUCUGGUUCCCCAUAUUAAACAUAAGCAGACAGCCAGAGCUUGCCAGAUAUCCACAGGAGAUCACUAACCUUGAAGGUAGAAGCUAAAAUGAACCAACAGGGGAAAAAAAGCAACCUGGAGAAAACAGUAGCAAGGCAGAGAGAAGAAAACAACCAAACACUAAAAAGAUCAUGAAUAUCCUCUGAGAGUUAAGAGAAGAUACUGCAUCUGGGGAACAAAUGCUAUUAGGAAAAAGAAAAUCCAAAACAAACCAAAAAGCCCCACAGUUUCAAAGAACCAAGACAAAUUUUUAGAAAUUAAAAGCAUGAUAGAAAAAUGGUGUUAGGGUUGGAAUUAGAAAUGUUGAAAAAGAACGUUGAAUAAAUCUUCCAGAGAAUAAAGGGAAAGAGACAAUGAAAUAUAAAGAGAAGGGAAACAAAGAAUAAAAAAAAUUUUUUUCCCCAGAUUUGAAGUGAAUUUUGACUGAAUGGGCCCACUUGAUACCCAGCAUCACACAAAUCACAGUUAUUCACAUCAUGCUAAAAUUUCAAAAUAGGAGGAAGAUUCUACAAGUUUCAAAAAAGGGAAAACAAGUCACAUACAAAGGAUGAAGGAUCGAAAUUAUUUCAGACCUCUCAUCUGCCUCAGUGGAAGCUAAAAGACAAUGGAGGAAUGGCUCCAAAUUCUGAAGGAAAGUUAUUUCCAGCUUAGAAUACAUUGUCAGCCAAAAUAUCAACCAAGCAUAGAUCAAAGAUAGUUUCAGAUAUGAAAGUUCUAAACACUUUUGUUUUUGUCUUUUGUCUUAUUAGGGCGGCACCCAUGGCAUAUGGAGUUUCCCAGGCUAGGUGUCUAAUCGGAUCUACAGCUGCCA